rnacentral:lncRNA from 1 species
GGAGAAGGAAGGGAGAUUUGGUUAUUUGAUUUUGGCUUGGAAGAUGGCUAGAAUGAGGUAUGUAUUGAAUGAUUCUUGAAAAUCUAUGCAUGUUUGAGAUGGUUAGUUCAAAUUCUACUCAUCCUAUAGAUUAGACUUAGGAUUUUGAGGUUGAAAUUCGGCCAAGAAGCUUGAAACUCUUAGUAGAUGUGUUAAUGUCAUUAAAAUGGAUAGUAAUGUAGGAUAUGGUGAGUGAUUAAU